ensembl:lncRNA
CUGGCCACCCCUUCCUCCAGAAAGCCUUCACUGACACCCCCAGCUUCUCAUCACCUCCAGGUCUGUGAUGUGUUGUAUAAAUUUUGGAAAAUCAUUGAGCCACAAAAUUGUAAAUUCAAGGAAGCUUCUAGUUUUAGUCAUCUGAAAGGCAGGGCUCCAGUUUCCCUGAGUUCCGGCAACGCUUCACUCUGGUGUUGACUUCAUUCUUGUGUGAGCUUUCUUCAGGAGGCAAGAAUAAUGCCAAGCCCGCAUCUUUACAGCCUGCUGUCCCAAGGAAUUAAAACAAUAACAGGAGAAUGGAAUAUCAGGACAGGGAAACAAGGAAAAACAUUAUCAUAGUGGUCCAGGCAAGUAUCAUUUAAGCUUAGUAAAUGAUGGUAAAGUGCGUUAUGCACAAAGGUCCUAGACGAUCCUUGAAGCCAUCCUUUAUCACCCCGGCCUAAAAUGCCCAUUCUUUUCUACCAGCCAUUAGAUGGUUUCUGAGUAUUUACUCUAACUGGGUGACAAGCUUGGCUCUGGGAAUACACCACUAAAAGACAUUUCUUAUGUCUUCAAAGAAUCUGGUGGGGGCUGUGGGUAAGUCAGCAGGGACAAUAUAAAGGGCUGGUUGUCAUCAUGGAGGAGUGCUGGAUGCAGUGGAGGUCUGUGGGAGAAGCACGACUCCAGCUUUGCAGGUGGAGAUGAGGUUGGAGAGGGAAGCAGGAAGCACACAUCGAAGGUCCUUCACAUCUGUCAUAGAGUUUGAAAUUUUUCCUUAGAACAAAGGGGAGCUGAUGAAGAAUUCUAGAACUGGAAGACAUAGUCAGACCCAAAUGCCUGUUUUUGAAAGACAGUGGAAAACGGAGAAGAGGGAAGCACCAGCAAGACAGAAAGGAGCACAACCAACCUCCCCCGAACGGGAGGCGCAGAGGAAGCAGGCGGCUGUGCUCCUUGAAAGCAGCCAUCCGUCCAACUCCAUUUCAAUAAUGUUUGCAAUUUUCCUCCUACUGGGUUGACUGGAGGCACAGCUGCCCCAUACGCGGGUCCAUGCGCCCAGCUUUUGCUAAAAAUGACCCUAACAAAUAAAAGGUGAAGCGAGUAAUAACUUGCUGUUUACAAAUUGUGUCGUCGAUGAAUGCAGCAGCAAUCUUUC